CACGUAGGGUGCAAGCGUUGUCCGGAAUUACUGGGCGUAAAGAGCGCGCAGGCGGUCGGUUAAGUCGUAUGUGAAAGCCCCCGGCUCAACUGGGGAGGGUCAUUCGAUACUGAUCGACUUGAAGGCAGGAGAGGGAAGCGGAAUUCCCGGUGUAGUGGUGAAAUGCGCAGAUAUCAGGAGGAACACCGGUGGCGAAGGCGGGUCUCUGGGCCGAUACUGACGCUGAGGAGCGAAAGCGUGGGGAGCAAACAGG
rnacentral:rRNA from 1 species